GUACCUGAGUGACUAGAAGUGGUGGAGUCAGGAUCCACACCUUCCCAGAACUCAUUUAAGGGUUGUCAGUGGAGGUGAAGCUAUCCUCAUAAAGAUCUCUGCUACCUGAGGCCUUCCAAAGCUUUUUAUCAGCGUGUUGUUUUCCCUCUUGGCCGUGUCCUCACAACUCACCCCAUUCCAAGAGCAUGGAUGACUGUUGUGCCCAGCAGUGUAUUGUACAUAUGUAAUGAACACAGCUUAGGGUGUCAUAUGGACAUCUCGAGUUUCUUCAGCAAGCUAGGAAGCAUUUCCUUUGGUCAACCUGAAUGUCUGUGGAACAGACUCGUGGACUUCUAAACACCUUCCAAGCUCUGUGUAUGUGCAUACAUAUAUGAAGACACUGUGUUUGAAAUGAUACAAAAAUAUAUUUAUUCAUUCAAAUUAUUUUCUCUAUAUUUCAACACACUUAAAUGUAUUGUUGUUUUGAUUUGUUUUAUCCAAGGGGAAACUUCUGUUCCUGUACACCUUCAGGAUGGCUAUAUCAACUGGUAUAAGGACAAGAUUAAGCUUGCUCUGAAAAGAUAAAUGACUGCUUCCAAAAUAGGAAAUAUUUUUUCGCAUGUUAUUCUAAUACUGUGCAGAAUAAUUUCAAAUGUUUUUUUCUUCUACCUGAACAUUUAAUUGCAUUAUUUCACAAUUUUGUCUACCUAAAUCAUUAAUGUUUCUCUAAUGAAGAGAUUACAAUCUUUUUUUGAUUUUCUUAUCUAUUUACUACAUUAUAUUGUUAUAGUGUAUUAUUUUUAGGAAUGUUUAGAGGUGCUUUUUACUCAGAGGUUUUUUCCUUAGCCUUAUCUGAAUAUUUCUUAUUAUCUGAAUAUCUUUUCAUACACAUUUAUUUUCAAAGAGUUUUUUUGUGCAUCUGUAUGAGUUUAAAAAAUAUAUAUCUUAUGUCCUUUGUAAAAAUACCAUUUUUUUAUGAUGCUUGUCAAUACUUCACUUUUCUAAGGGGUUCCUGUAGCAUUUUGCAAUAUUCUUUUCCAAAAUGAACAAUAUGCU
rnacentral:lncRNA from 1 species